AUACGUAGGGAGCAAGCGUUGUCCGGAUUUACUGGGUGUAAAGGGUGCGUAGGCGGUUUUAUAAGUCAGCGGUGAAAUUUUCCGGCUCAACCGGGAUACUGCCGUUGAUACUGUAAGGCUAGGAUAUGGUUGCUGUGGGUGGAAUGUGUGGUGUAGCGGUGAAAUGCUUAGAGAUCACACAGAAUAUCGAUUGCGAAGGCAGCUCACAAAGCCAUUAUUGACGCUGAGGCACGAAAGUGUGGGGAUC
rnacentral:rRNA from 1 species